CCACACAAGUUCAACCAUACCCCAUCUCUUCUCCUCUCCUACUACCUAGAAUAAACACUUGAAUAAUCUGCAGGUGGCCCGCGGUUCGUGAUCCAUCCACGAGCCACACCCAUCCACCCCGUCACCUCAGCUUCGUUCCCACGAAGAUACAGAGUUCGGUCUUGCUCCGGCGCCGUGGAAGAGAGAGAGAUAGAUGGGUUCCACCGGCGCCACCGCCGUCCUUCUGUCCUGCGUCGUGCUGUCCAUUGUCGCCGCCGGCUCCGCCGCGUCGGACAAACCACUCAUCAUAUCAAAUGCGGCCCUUUUAGCCUCGCCCCCGGAGGCAUCGCCGUCGCCCGGCCGCAAACUGGGGGGCUUCAUGGAGGCAGGGCUGUGCCCGGUGUAGUUGGGGCACCUGAAGCAGAUGGGCAAGGUACAGGGCAGCUGCUUGGGACAGGCGAUCCCGCAGCGGCGGUGCUGCACGGCGUUCAAGGGCUUCGUGUGCCCCUACGGGGCCACGAUGAACGACGUCGACAACGGCUGCGCCGCUGAGAUGAUGGCGACGAUCCAGGAGCUCUGCAAGGUGCCCAAGGGCUACUUCGUCAUGUGCGGGGAUUCAGCCGAGGGCAUCACGUGCUGACCUGAGUGACUGAUUGUUUGUUUGUUUGUUUGAUCAAGUGCUAAGAUUAGCCGGUGCCAUCGACGACGACGUACGUUUAAGCUGUUUCUUCUUGCUCUCUUUUUUCUUACUUACUUAUAUGUUAGUACUUUCUUUUCCUGCGA